AUACGAAGGGUGCAAGCGUUAAUCGGAAUUACUGGGCGUAAAGCGCGCGUAGGUGGUUCGUUAAGUUGGAUGUGAAAGCCCCGGGCUCAACCUGGGAACUGCAUCCAAAACUGGCGAGCUAGAGUAUAGCAGAGGGUGGUGGAAUUUCCUGUGUAGCGGUGAAAUGCGUAGAUAUAGGAAGGAACACCAGUGGCGAAGGCGACCCCCGGGGCUAAUACUGACACUGAGGUGCGAAAGCGUGGGGAGCAAACAGGAUUAGAUUCCCUGGUAGUCCACGCCGUAAACGAUGUCGACUAGCCGUUGGGAUCCUUGAGAUCUUAGUGGCGCAGCUAACGCAUUAAGUCGACCGCCUGGGGAGUACGGCCGCAAGGUUAAAACUCAAAUGAAUUGACGGGG
rnacentral:rRNA from 1 species